UUAUAACGUGUUGGAUUAUAGAAAUAAAUGAAGUGGUACUGAUUGUGUGUGUGUUUUAGGAUGAGCUGGAGUGGGGCAAAGAGAACUGCAUUCAGAUCAAACGGAUACGAGAGGUGGCCGAGUUGUUUGAGGAUCUGAAGAAUCGAGUGUCACAAUUCAACAUGCACAUCAGCGAAACUUCUCCCUCUGACUACACCAGCGCGCACACACAGAAAUUCAUAGUGCAGGUGGCGAUUGCAGGCGCAUUUUAUCCGAACUGCUUCCUCCAGGGAACUGUGGACGAGGAGCUCGCCUCCAAGGAGCUCUAUGGAAACGACCCCAGGACCACCGUAGUGGUGUGUAAUCUCCCUCCAUUUGCAUUCCUCUACUAUAAACAGCUCCAGUCUCUCUUCAGACACUGGUUAAGUCAAAUCCAUCUCCUUUGACAGCUCCAGGGCCUAUGUAGAGUUCUACCGCUCGUCAAUGAGAGGUUCUGGCGUUCUCCCAGAGGUCUCUCUGUCUCUCCUCCUCGCGCAGCAGAGACUUCCUCUCCAUCUCAAUGUUUAACCCGCUGGAGAGGUGGAGACUUGGGCAGGGGGGUAGUGUAUCUCACACCUCAGAUAUACACGGGUGAAUGUGGAUUUUCAGAAUCAGUCAGUGAGCCCUGUCGGGGUUCUGAGCAGCUCCAUUGAGUUGGAGAAUCUUCCGUCUAACCCUGUCUUUAUCGUCAAUAUCACCGAGGUCAUCAAAGUCGGGCAUUUCUGGGGUUUCCAGGCUCACGCGGCAAGUCUGGAGAAACAGAGGUGGCUGACAGUGGCCGUUACACGGGCGCUCUGCCCACUUCCUGUCUCACUUUAUCCAAAUCUUCUGUGUCUCGCCCCUUUCUCUGAAACUCACACCAAACCUGGGAACUACUACAGAGCCAAAAUACUGCAUGUCAUGGGGAGUAAUGUGGAGGUAACAUCUGUACACACA